AGGAGCAAAUGGAUAAAUAUUUCUGCCACAUAAGUGGAAUUAUCCAGAAGAAGCAGACCUCCACAAGGAUACGAUGCCUCCUUCAAGAUGUUGUAGACCUAAGAAAGAAUAAGUGGGUGCCGCGCAGAAAAGACAAAGGACCA